UACGUAGGGGGCAAGCGUUAUCCGGAUUUACUGGGUGUAAAGGGAGCGUAGACGGCAUGGCAAGUCAGAUGUGAAAGCCCGGGGCUCAACCCCGGGACUGCAUUUGAAACUGUCAGGCUGGAGUGCAGGAGAGGUAAGUGGAAUUCCUAGUGUAGCGGUGAAAUGCGUAGAUAUUAGGAGGAGCACCAGUGGCGAAGGCGGCUUACUGGACUGUAACUGACGUUGAGGCUCGAAAGCGUGGGGAGCAAACAGG
rnacentral:rRNA from 1 species